GGGGGGGGGUGGUGCCUUCUCCUGUCACGUUCCCACUCCUGCCCAUCUCCAUCAGUACAUUUAGAGAAGCAUCGUCCUUACUCCUGUAACGCUGGCUUGAAUUCUUGUAUAAUUCUGCCAUCAGUAAAUCAUGCCCUCCUUGCACGGUACGGAUCACUGUAGCGUCUUCAUGAACAAGAAGGCUCUUGCUUUGCAGUUCUCAGCUCCCAGUAUCUUGAGCUAAAUAAAGCUUUGCUCAUCCAAAACUACCAACCCUGGGAGCUGGGGAGAUGGUGCAGUUGCCCUCGCUAACCUGAGUGAUUCUGAAACUACACAAGCUGCAUUUGGGAGAAGGAGAAGUGUCUGGGAAGGGGCCCCGAAGAGAGGAAGAAGAACAGACGGAGACCAGGGGGAACUGGGAAGGAGCAAGUGCGGAGGCGAUCCUGAAGCUGCUGAGGAAGGAAGAUGGGGUGAGACUGGAAAAUGAAAACAGACAUGCAAAAGAAGCUGGAAGGAGUGGUGACAAGAAUCCACAAGGCCACAUGCUGUGCUCCUGAUCAGAUGUCCCAUGGGAGUCUUUCCUCUCUCAGGCAGGAUCACACACACCAUUAUCACAGAGGGUUCUAUUGGACAGAGACUUUUUAGACCCAUGCUCUUACUGGUCACCCUGGCUUGCAAAUCCUCUGCCUCCUGGAACCUCACUGGCUGUACGGCUCUAAAACUAAACUUGGAAUUGAAACGUAGCUGUCAUUCCUUGAAUACACAAUUGUGUGUGACUGGCUUUUGUUGUUGCUUGGUGUUUUGUUUUUAAAGUGAGCUCGCCUCAAGCUCUUUUGCUGCAGAAAUGCACGGAAAAUAUGAGAGGAUCCUGAAAGAAUUCUCUGGCAGAGAGCACAUCUUGUUUUCGGCCGGCAUUUGUUCGUCGUCGUCGUCGUCACUACCUACAUUCCCCCGCCGUGUUCACAUAUGAAAACAAUUAUUUCUCAGUUCAGGAAGUCGGUUUUAAUCGUUAGUUUGGCUUCAAAGGAUCCAGCACCCUUUACAAGGUCAGACUAGCUCCAAAGACAGCUAGGCAGAAACUCUGGCCUGGGAGUAAGCUGAGCUUUCCUGGUAGGCAACUGCUUAGAACUUGUGCUUGAGUCCUGGAAAUGAGGAAGAUGUCCUAUCUGAGGUGGAAGGGAAGAGUUCAUCCCUGAGUGCUGGAGAGACGGUCUCAGAGAAACAACUUCCCUCGGUCUCACCUGCACUCGGUAUUCAACAAGUUCCACUGGAGAGACUCGAGCCCCACACAGGGGUCAGGGCCCUGAUUUCUUGCCCCAGAUGUGUGACCCUAGGCAAAUCCAUCAGAAUCUAGGAAUUUCUAUUUACUCAGGUGUAUGUAGGGUUUCAACCAGUCCUUCUGCUAAGCAUAAAUACCUUCUGUUUUCCUUAUUGGCUCUGCACCAUGACAACUGUAAAUUAAUCUUUAUCUUCAGACAGCAAUAGAAUUAGACGCAAUAUGAGCAUUUUGCUUUGAUGGAUAUAACAGAAAGCCUUCACAUCUGUGCACGUGGUAGGGGUUAAUAUAAUGGAGAGCCCUACACACCAGGGUCUUUCAGAUUAUAGUGGGCAAAAGAAUCAGCUCAUUGAAAAUGCAUUGAGAGAUUGGCCCUGAGAAUCAGCGCAGACAGCUGCACCAUGUGGGUCAGGUCUGGAGGGGAUACUUACAGACAUCUGAGCCUUGGCUGGGCACCCAGGCUGUCCCCGCACAGCUGGGCCUGCUCUUCCUACCCAACUUAAGAGAUUUUGCUGCUGCUUCUAACAGUUAGGAAACCAGCUUGGAAGGCUUGACUCUGCAAGGGAGGGGCCACCUGGCCCAGGUUAACAGCCAGCUAGAGUGCUAAAGAGGGAAAUAAAAAUUAAGAACAUAGAUUCUGUGAAUCAUUCACACCUUGGCUCACAUAAAUACUGAUCGAAGCAGGCAGGAAAUCAUAGCACAUCAUGUUUUAGCCGAAGAUGUGGGUUAUAAUAGCACCCAUUUCCAUAAUUCUAACACACUGCAGUUUCCAUUUAAUGAAACGAGGCUGGGAAGAUAAAAAGUGCCAUUUGCCUGUGAAAAGGUUCUGAAGCAAGGCUAAAACCAGAGGUAGGUCUCUUUUGGAGUUUGGAAAUGAGGGUGGAAAUCAUGGGCAGAAAGUAUGCCCCCGCCCUCCUUAAAUGUUCUGACAAGGUAGAUGUCGCACCAAAGAAAAACACACACAUUCAAGAGAGAACAAAGAUUCGAAUCUCGCCAGCUUUAGGACAGUGGCCAGCAUGUGUGUCAGGGCAGGGUGUCCCUCUAUCUUUGUUGGAUGGAGGUGUUAAGCACAAGCUGGGGAAACAGGAAGAAGGUGGAGGGGAUGUGGAGUAUGAGAAGCAGGCUUUCUGAAAACCAGGAGAGAGCUUAUAGCUUCAAAUAAGCUCCAAAGAUCAGGUAGAGCUCACUCCCUACCUUCUGCUCUAACAAAACCCUCCAUUCUGGGCGACUUAAGGCCACAGAGGUUGGGAAGAUGGCUCUGUGGCUAAGAGCACGUGUCCCGUGAGUAUAAGGACCUGAGUUUGAACCCCUAGCCCCUACUGAAAAGCCAGGCAAUGGCUACACAUGCCAGGGCAGAGACAGGCAGAUCCUGUGAGCUCGCUGGCCAGCAAGUCUCUCUGAAGUGAGGAGUUUCUGGUUCAGUGAGAGACCCUGUCUCAAGGAAGUAAGAUGAAGUGAUAGAGCAGAGAUUUGACCUUCUUCUUUGACCUCUGGAUGUGCAUAAAUAGGGGCAUGCAGAACUGCACAUACAUGGUGCACGCACAUAUACCACAUACUACACAAAGCAACACAAGUGCAUUGCUUCAGAGUUCUGGAGGCUGAGAUGCAAAAAUCAAGGUAUGUGCCGGGCCGGGCUGUGCUCUCUCUGAAACCUCCGUGAGGUUCCUCCUGCCAUUUCGCAGCCACUGGUGGUUUGCUGGUGAUACUCGGAGUCUGCUGGCCUGCAGCCACUCAGAUCCUCUGUCUGCUCUUACUGACACAGGCAUUCCUCCUGUGCGUCUCCGUUUUCAGAUGCCAUUUUCUUGUAGGGGUGCCAGUCAUAUUAGCUGAGGGGCCCUCUCUACUCCAGAAUGACUGAAACCUAAUUAAU
rnacentral:lncRNA from 1 species